AUACGGAGGGUGCAAGCGUUGUUCGGAAUCACUGGGCGUAAAGGGCGCGCAGGCGGUUUGAUUAGUCAGAUGUGAAAGCCCACGGCUUAACCGUGGAAGUGCAUUUGAAACUGUCAGACUUGAGUAUCAGAGGGGAAAGUGGAAUUCCCGGUGUAGAGGUGAAAUUCGUAGAUAUCGGGAGGAAUACCGGUGGCGAAGGCGACUUUCUGGCUGAAUACUGACGCUGAGGCGCGAAAGCGUGGGGAGCAAACAGGAUUAGAAACCCCGGUAGUCC
rnacentral:rRNA from 1 species